rnacentral:rRNA from 1 species
GUGGCGAAGGCGCUCUACUGGGCCAUAACUGACACUGAUGGACGAAAGCUAGGGGAGCGAAAGGGAUUAGAUACCCCUGUAGUCCUAGCUGUAAACGAUGAACACUAGGUGUUGCGCGUAUCGACCCGUGCAGUAUCGAAGCAAACGCGUUAAGUGUUCCGCCUGGGGAGUACGCACGCAAGUGUGAAACUCAAAGGAAUUGACGGGGGCCCGCACAAGCGGUGGAGUAUGUGGUUUAAUUCGAUGCAACGCGAAGAACCUUACCAGGGUUUGACAUCCUACGAACUUCUACGAAAGUAGUUGGUGCCUUCGGGAGCGUAGAGACAGGUGGUGCAUGGCUGUCGUCAGCUCGUG